UCUGCGGCCUCGUGGCUCUGGCUCAUCUGAAGCUUAAUUCACCCCGCACACCCACUGUGAUUCCGUCGCACCACCGCAACAUCGCGCGGCUUCGGUUGAUUUCUCCUUUCCUACUCUCCAAAUCUUCGGAAUCCCAACCUUUCUCCGCUAGCCCGAGGCCACCGUGCCCAUUUGCGGUGUCGCCGUUGCUCCCGCGCAUGCAUUAAUGCAGCGUCCUUUGCCUUUGGUGCCACCGCGAUGCCUCCAUGGCCGCCGGAGCCUGGUCGAACCCAACCCAAUCUCUCCUCGGCGAUCUGCGUCUUUGUGGCUUUAACCGGAAUCCCGGAUGUUUUUGCAUUGGGCAACCUUAAAUCAAACGGAUGUUCAAAAACAUUGUUUUCGGCUGCGAACACAGCAACUCCGGUGCCUUUGCUGGCCAGGAGAUGGGGGCGUUUGGGCUGGGCGGGGGGCCAGCGUCGUUUAUCAACCAGGCGGGGCCCUUUUUUGGAGGCGAGAUAGGCCGCCGGCAAUCUGGGUUCGACAGUCUAUCUGUGUUCGACGGUGUCAAGGCUCAAAUAUUUGGAGAAUUGCUGCCUUACCUUAAACACAGAAUUUUUCGCCGAUCGUUGACGGAAUUGGGAAACGGAAGCUACCAUGAGGAUUGUGGAAGGAUUCUCUACAACUUCUACGGAUCGGAAUCUUGUUUCGGAGAUUUUCGGGUUUUAGCGUAAAAUCGAGGUUUUGGAAUUCGGUUCGCUGUUUAGGGACCUUGGAGUUCGAGAUUUGCUUACGGGGUUAAGGUCCUUCGGGUAACCGGAACUAGCGUCCUGGUGUAGGGAGCGUAGUGGCCGGUGUACUGCGUUAGCGCUUGGGUGGUCAUUUGGUGCUAUUAUGUAUGAAAUGCUUGUUGGGCACCCACCUUUUAUUCUGAUGAUCCUAUGUCAACAUGUAGGAAGGAGGCCUAAACUGGCUUGAGCUACACAAUGGGAGGUAGCUAUCUACCAUCCCAUAUCCCUGUCAAUCCUCCCAGAUUUGUGCAUCCGAUCUCCCAUGUGAAAGCUUCAAGUUUUAUUUUUUUAAAAUUAUUUUAUUGUCUUUCUCCAGUACAUUGGAAUUUAUUGUAAGUAUAUUUUAAUGAAGAUCUCUGUAUCUUGCUUCUUUGAUGUCUUUUUGAUCUUUUAGUCACUUUAAUAUUUAAAGGAUACUAGAUUUGUUUGUUCUUUGGUUUAUGUAAUGGAAAGAAAGCUGGAAGUAGAAUAUGGAAUUUGAAGAUGAAUGUUGAUUUUAACCUUUCAAA